GGGGACACAUGCAGCGGAGCUCUGAUGGAUCUUCUGCCCAGGAGCUGCAGAGUGAGCAGCGUGAAGUGUGAAGAGCUCCCUCUGCAGACUCCCGUCAAAGAAAGCCAGCAGAUCAUCUGACCCAGCAGUUCCAGUACAACUACAAAGGCAGAUCCACAUGUUGAAUUUCAACAACCCGAUUCUCUCAUUUUCCCAAAGUGGAAGGAAACUGGACAAGGUUUGAGCAGGAUUAUGAUUUAUUCACUGCAGCUGCACACAGGGAAAAAUCUGCUCUUCAAUCCUGCAACAUAGAGGAAGUAGACAUUUCCAUAUGCACCUACAGUAGUGUCAGCAGAGGGUGCCAUUACCACACCAGCAGAAUCCAGGGAGGAUCGUGAGGAAAUUUAAAGAGAUAUGCAAACCUGAGAGCAAAACCAUAAUGAAGAGGCAUAAAUCUGAGAGACAGAGACAGAGUUAACACUAGCCAAAGUUCUGCACUAAUGUCCAUCAGUAACAUUGCAGAACAACGAAGCAAAACCACUUCUGCACCUAAACAGGUGACACCCAUCAGUGUGGAUGCUCUACAUUUAAGCCACGAUAGAAGAGCUGAAUGUAAAGCGAAACAGUCAAAGUCAGGAUAUUCUCAAAGAGUGAUAUCCAGUUGUAAGAAUUGUGAAGGUGAAAAUCUGGGAACCCAUGAACAGCUUUUGGACAAGCGUCUCAUAACUACAGAAAAUAUUAUCAAAAAAGCAAAACCAAGCAAGUCUGGAAGUCAAGUCAGCUAAAUCUGAUCUUAAACAGACGAAGGUUCGACGUUACACAGACACUGACAUUUAAUCUGAUCUGCGCAAUGUGAACACAUUCAUAGCAAAACAGAAAGACAAUUAAUGACCAAGUGGCUCAAGGCAGACACAAGAGAGGAGUGUGACGUCUUACAGAGAGGGCAAUGUAGACAGCGGUCUUGGUUUUCUUUUUCUCCAACGUGUAAAUCCGUAGUAAACCUCUUGAGAAAACUUACGUAACUUCAUGUGGUUCAUAUGUGCAAAGCUGUGAUCUCAUCUGAAGAGAGCACCUCCGUUAGUCCCUGCUCAUUUCGAUAAACACAAUCUGAAAUUAAUUUAUGGAAACCACACCAUGUACUGUGUAGGGUCUACUUUAUGUUGCUCCAUGACAUAAGAUCCCAAUCCAAGGUUGAGGUUUGUGAUUGUAAAGUGACACAAUGUGGAAAAGUUUAAAGGGUAUGAAUAAAUCUGCCAAGCUCUGAAAUUUGAAACACUCCGAGAACUGUUUGAGAAAUACAAGAAUCAAUAGUCAAAAAGUCAACAUUCACAUUUGUACUUUAUUAGCCAUCCCUUUAUAAUUCUUAAAUUAUCUCACAAAAAUAGGAGCACACAGUAUCACAGCUCUGACGCAGGUUUAGGCCAUAAUGACAAGGAGGCAUCUCAAAAACACUUGAUAAUGUCACAUAGCUUGACUGUUUUCAUUUUGGGGGAAAUGACAGAAAAAAAAAAAAA